rnacentral:lncRNA from 1 species
GUGUGGUGAUGUGCUUGUAGUCCCAGGUACUUGGUAGGGGGUCGGGGUGAGUCGAGGUAGGAGGAUUGCUGGAGCCUGGGAGGUGGGGGCUACAGCGAGCUGAGGUAGUGCCACUGCACUGCAGCCUGGGUGACAGAGUGAGACCCCAUCUCGGGGGGAAAAAUAUCUUUCUAGGGCCAGCGGUUUCAGCUAGGGUUGUGUCCCCCAGGGCACACCUGCCAACGACUGGAGACACUUUCAUUGUCACCACUCAGGGGCGGCUACGAAGUUCUAGUGGGUGGAAGCCAGGGAUACGGCUGAUGCCAGGGCACUCCUCCCCUCCCCCCACCCCAAUUGCUGGGGGGUGCAGUCCUCUACUUCGAGAUGCUUCCAA